rnacentral:antisense_RNA from 1 species
CUUGAUCGACCCCAACCACAACGGCUGGUCGUCCCGCCGAUCCUGCCCGUACGUGGCGAGCAGCGCCUCGGCCUC